GGAUGGAUUCUUCUAUGAGGAGGCAGAUUCAAUUUGUGUGCUAUCGAUCCCAUUCAUGCCACGAUUUGUGUGUAUUGUAUGACCGUAAGACCGACGAAAGAGGAGCUGUCAACAUCGAAUGUUUAAACUCCCAAAUUCGAACAAGACAAGGCCUUGCAUGUCUAAAAUUCGAACAAGACAAGGACAAAGGCCAUCCGGCUGGGUAGAGGACAAACUAGCGGUUUCAGCAGCAAGAUACUUAUUAAGAGACACUAAGAAUCAAGGUUAAGGAUUACACCACAAGAAUUCACAGAUAUCUGGGUCCUGUAUUAAGGAGAACAAGAAGUCGCUAAGGAGAACAAGAAUGGCAAGCAAUUAUCACUGCACCAGAAGUCGCUAAGGAGAACAGGCAUCAGAUUGUGGAGACUGAGCACUUGAUGAAAACUAUGUUAGAGCAAAAGAAUGGGCUUGCUCGCCGGAUCUUCUCUAAGGUUGUGGUCUGAUCAAUGUUGUGUUAAGUGUGUUUAUAUAUUAAUUAACCGUUGUGUGUAGUUUCAUGGUCUCUUUUAGAUUAUUUACU